rnacentral:rRNA from 1 species
AACGAACGCUGGCGGCAUGCCUAACACAUGCAAGUCGAACGAGAUCUUCGGGUCUAGUGGCGCACGGGUGCGUAACGCGUGGGAAUCUGCCCUUUGGUUCGGAAUAACAGUUGGAAACGACUGCUAAUACCGGAUGAUGACGAAAGUCCAAAGAUUUAUCGCCAGAGGAUGAGCCCGCGUAGGAUUAGCUAGUUGGUGUGGUAAAGGCGAACCAAGGCGACGAUCCUUAGCUGGUCUGAGAGGAUGAUCAGCCACACUGGGACUGAGCCCCGGCCCAGCCUUCUAGGGGAGCGGGCGUGGUGGAAUAUGGGACAAUGGGGAAAUGCCUGAACCAGCAAUCCCGCGGGGGUGAUGAGGGCGUGCGUGUGGGAAAGCUCUUUGCCCCGGGAUGACAAUAGAGAAACCGGGAGAAUAGGCUCCGGCUAGCUCCGUGCACCCCGCCUAUGUAA